AAUCAACGCUGGCGGCGUGCCUCAGACAUGCAAGUCGAACGAUUAAAGCUCUCUUCGGAGAGUGUAUAGAGUGGCGCACGGGUGAGUAACACGUAAGUAAUCUACCUUUGAGUGGGGAAUAACAGUCGGAAACGACUGCUAAUACCGCAUAAUGCAGCGGCACCGCAAGGUGACAGUUGUUAAAGGAGCAAUUCGCUUAAAGAGGAGCUUGCGGCAGAUUAGCUUGUUGGUAAGGUAACGGCUUACCAAGGCUACGAUCUGUAUCCGGUCUAAGAGGACGGUCGGACACACUGACACUGAAUAACGGGUCAGACUCCUACGGGAGGCAGCAGUCGGGAAUUUUGGGCAAUGGGCGAAAGCCUGACCCAGCAACGCCGCGUGAAGGAUGAAGUAUUUUCGGUAUGUAAACUUCGAAAGAAUAGAAGAAUCAAUGACGGUACUAUUUAUUAAGGUCCGGCUAACUACGUGCCAGCCGCCGCGGUAAU
rnacentral:rRNA from 1 species